UACCGGCGGUAACAAAAAAAAGAGAAGCCCACUCGAUACUUGGCCCAUAACCCAAACCUGUUACGCGAAAAAAAACCUGAAACGGCCUCGCCCCUCUCCGACAGCCGACCCCAGCGAUCCAAACCCUAGCUCCGCCUCCGCAUCAUCGUCGGUUCAUCGAGUGAAGCAAGGUGUUAAAUGAGCAACCCUGGAAAAGAAUUGAUUGAGGCCGUUCUGUUUCCACUCUACGGCGAUCACAGACUCCGUUUUGUAUGAAAGUCAAAAGUGGCCCAGCCCAACCCAAACAAGUGAUAGUAUUAAAAAAAAAAUUAGUUAAAACCCGACCCGCAAACCCAAAACCGACCCGUUAACUCAUUAAAGCCCAAAUCCAUGCCCUAACUAAACCAAUUCUCCUCCCGAUCUCUUUCCCAAAACCCCUUCAUCGCCGCCGCGUCCCACUCUCCGCCGCUUCUCGUUCCUCGCAGCCGCCUCCUCCUUCCCCAAAACCCUGAAACCGAUCGCCGCCGCCGCCUCCUCUUCUUCUCUGGAGGCUUCUUCCUCUUCGCCGCCAGCCCUCGUCUUCUCUUUUCAAGUGAAGUAGAUACACUAGUCCUAAGAACAUGGCAAUGAAUUGCACAAGAUCACUGAAACACAUCUAUACCAUUGACAAGGCCAUUAAUAUGAUUGCCAUCAGAAGUUUCGCUGCUGGUCCUAAAUCAAAAAAGAGUGGAAAAGGAGCUGGCGAUGCUCCAAAGGAGUCUGUCCUGACCAAAGAAAUGAAAAGUACCACUGUGUUUGGAGCCAAUAUCUUGAAGGAGGGCACUGAUCCUAAAAUACUGCCAGAUUCUGAGUACCCUGACUGGCUGUUUCACUUGCUAGACAAACGACCUCCACUGAGUGAAC